AUGUUCGGUGCAAACUUCUCCUCCACUUUCCACCCCACUGUGUUCAUCCUACUUGGCAUCCCAGGAUUGGAGAACUAUCACACCUGGCUUUCUCUCCCCUUCUGCCUCAUGUACAUCACUGCAGUGUUGGGAAAUGGAAUGCUCAUCCUUGUCUUCAGUGCACACACCCUCCCUGAACCCAUGUAUGUCUUCCUAUCCAUGUUGGCUGGCACUGACAUCCUGCUGUCCACCACCACUCUUCCCAAGGCCCUGGCUGUUUUUUGGUUUCAUGCUGGGGAGAUUGCCUUUGAUGCCUGCAUCACUCAGAUGUUUUUCAUCCAUGUUACCUUUGUGGCUGAGUCGGGUAUCCUGUUGGCCAUGGCAUUUGACCGCUAUGUGGCCAUUUGUACUCCCUUGAGAUACACAGCCAUCUAAACUCCUAUGGCAAUUGGAAAAAUGACUCUGGCAAUCUGGGGAUGAAGCAUUGGGACUAUUUUCCCUAUCAUAUUCCUGCUGAAGAGGUUGCCAUACUGUCGAACUAAUAUCAUCCCCCACUCAUAUUGUGAGCACAUUGGGGUGGCCAGAUUGGCCUGUGCUGACAUCCCUGUCAAUAUCUGGUAUGGCUUCUCAGUGCCAAUGGCAUCAGUUUUGGUAGACAUUGCACUCAUUGGUAUUUCCUACACUUUGAUUCUCCAAGCUGUGUUUAGACUUCCUUCCCAGGAUGCCUGGCACAAGGCUCUCAGUACGUGUUGUUCCCACAAUGGAGUCAUUCUCCUCUUUCUCAUUCCAUCCUUUUUUAAUUUCUUGACCCACUGAUUUGGCAAGAAUAUCCCCCACCAUGUCCACAUCCUUCUGGAAAAUCUCUAUGUGUUAAUUCCCCCCAUGCUUAAUCCCAUCAUCUAUAGAGCAAAAACCAAGCAAAUCAGGGGUAGUAUGGCUCACAUGUUAUCUGUUUUGGGAAAGUCUUGA